GAUGAAGAACGCAGCGAAAUGCGAUAAGUAGUGUGAAUUGCAGAAUUCAGUGAAUCAUCGAAUCUUUGAACGCACAUUGCGCCCUUUGGCAUUCCGAAGGGCACACCUGUCCGAGCGCCGUCGCACAACUGAGGCGCAGCCUUGCGUUGGCGGGCGACUUGUGAGUAGCGAGUCGCCGCCCAAACGAGACGGCGCCGCGCCGCGGCCGACGAAGCACGAAAGCGGAAGUCGACGCGGAGGCGGUUGCCUGUAGGAAGACACAGCUUGGCCUCGGAUCAGGUGGGGAUACCCGCUGAACUUAAGCAUAUCAAUAAGCGGAGGA
rnacentral:misc_RNA from 1 species